GACGAACCGUGCAAACGUUGUUCGGAAUCACUGGGCUUAAAGGGCGCGUAGGCGGCUUGCCAAGUCAGGGGUGAAAUCUUUCGGCUCAACCGGAAAAGUGCCUCUGAUACUGGCGAGCUAGAGGGAGGUAGGGGCAUGUGGAACUUCCGGUGGAGCGGUGAAAUGCGUUGAUAUCGGAAGGAACGCCGGUGGCGAAAGCGACGUGCUGGACCUCUUCUGACGCUGAGGCGCGAAAGCUAGGGUAGCGAACGGG
rnacentral:rRNA from 1 species